GAAUAUAUAGCCAGAUUCAGACGACACUUAUAUGUUGUCUGAAAAGAUGGAAAAAAACCCUAGCAAAAAUUUUAGAUUUCCCUCCAACAAGUUGAGUCUUUUCCCUCUCAAGAACCCAAACUCUAUAGCUGACUAAUCAAUGGGGUGAUAUUCAGACAACACAGUUAAGAAAUUGUGUUGUCUGAAUAAGAUUGAAAUUGAUGAAAUCUCUCUCGCAAAGGCUAUGCUUCGAGGCGUGGCCGGAGGAAGUGCGACUUGGCGUAGACUCAUGGGGCGAAGCGAAGGCAAAGUGGUGAGGACUCUUUGGGCGAGGACUACUUAUACAGGCUGGGCAAAGAGGCCGAUAACAAGAACAUCGCCGUAGGAUACCGAGGCGACGUCAUCGAUGAUCUUUUCGUCGGCAAAUCCCUCAAUCGAGACUCCGAUAUCGUCUUUGAUUAUCAAUAGAAGGUCACCAGGUCCUUCCAGUACCUGCAAGGCGAUUAUUACAUUGCGCCUCUCUUCAUGGUAUGAUGGACUUCGAUAAGCUUCUCGACUUCGAGAACGACGACCCACUCCUCAGCCCUCUGCUAAAAAUUGGUUUUGUUGAUUUCCAUACUUCAACCCAAAAAUUGUUGUAGUAUCACAAAAAAAGAGUCCAGGUUAUAGAUUCAGAAUGUUGUCAUCUCAAGUUAUGGAACAAAUGCAAAGCAAUGUGGUUGUCAAAGAGCACUCAGAGGACCUACCUCUUACAUCAUCAUAUGAAUCUGCCAUGGAAGCACUUUCCUCUCUCAUUAUAAGUAAAAAACGUGGAGACGGAUCAUCUGUUGGUGGUAAAUAUGAAAAAUUGGAGAGGAUGACGAUGUAUCUCAAGGUAUGAUGCUGACAAAACGAUUAGCACAUCAUGCUCUUAGUAGUUAGUUAACAAUUUGAUUUACUGUUCUGAGGUUGAAAUGCUGGAUGAUUGUUCUUACAGAUACUAGACUUGGAGAAAGACAUAGGAGGACUCAGAAUUAUUCAUGUAGCUGGAACCAAGGGACAGGUGUUUCUUCUUACCAUAAACUAUAUAUGCUUGAUAAAUCAGACUUAGACUUUCAGACACUUAGCACCGUUCUUUGAAAUAUAUUAUGAUAUCAAACCGUCAUAAUGCCAUUUACUAAUAAGGUCCUCAAACAAGGACAUGUUUCUUACCUGUUAGAUCAGAUAUGAACAACCAACACACAGAUCGAGUCAGCAAUGCAUCUCCAUAUCUAAUGCUAUAGUUUGAAAACGUCCUUAUUAGAUGUGUGCAUGUGUUUGUAUUUUUAAUGCAAUUGAAUUAUGCAAUUCUGUACAUGUAUAGUUGCUUUAAAAGGGUUCAAGGUGUCUGACAUGAUUAAAAUGGAAAAUGUUUAUGUAGUUUAGUACCUGCUUCUCUCUCUCUCUCUCACACAUUCUAUUUUGGAUUUGCGGAUUUGCAUAUAAGGGUUCAACAUGCCCAUUCUGUGAAGCUAUUUUACGGCAGUGUGGUUUUUGGACAGGACUGUUCACUUCUCCUCACUUGAUUGAUGUGAGAGAAAGAUUUCGUAUAAAUGGACUACAAGAAUUAUAUAGAACAAUGGCCAGUCUUCUCUUCAAAACUUUGAUGCCUCAAUUAGCUGAUAUCUCUGGAGGAUUAUCCGCUUCAAGAAUCAUAGCUGUUACAUAAUUAGCUAAAUUAAAGCUUCUGCUACUUAGUCACUCUAGAUUAGUAUAGUUGCUCCAGAUAGUAGUUUUUUUGCCUUAUAAGUUUAUUGAGCUGAUGCUCAUUAGGUUUAUGUAUGAAACAGUUAUGGAUGUAUGUGUUGACUGUAAUGACAGAUUGAAUAAUAUAUGCCAAUUGUGU